UUUGGAGUUGGAGACCGGUCCUUGUGAUUACGUCCAUUUGGACUAGCAUCCCUAGAAGGGGUUGUUCUACGUGGAGACGGGCUCCUUCGAGGACUGGGGCUAUGGCGAGCAGGGGAGGCACUUAUACAUAAAAUGAAAUAUACAUUACACAAAGCUUAUGAAAAGAGUUUCUGCAUGGGGUAAGAGAGAAAUGAGAAGCUAAAUAUGAAAAAGAAAAAGUUCUACCUUCCAUGAGACCGACUUCGGCUGCACCUGUCCUCGUCAUAUCUACCCAUCCCACGACCUUUGUGGUAAUCAGGGCUGCGGCUUCUGCUCCGAUGACGGUAAUCUCUGUCUCUUCAACGGUACUGAUCAC
rnacentral:lncRNA from 1 species